AUACGUAGGGAGCGAGCGUUGUCCGGAAUUACUGGGCGUAAAGGGCGCGUAGGCGGCGCUUCAAGUCGUCUGUCAAAUGGGAGGGCUUAACCCUUUUUCGCAGACGAAACUGGAGAGCUUGAGAAGCAGAGAGGCAAACAGAAUUCCUGGUGUAGCGGUGAAAUGCGUAGAUAUCAGGAAGAAUACCAGUGGCGAAGGCGGUUUGCUGGCUGCAUACUGACGCUGAAGCGCGAAAGUUAGGGGAGCAAACGGGAUUAGAUACCCCGGUAGUCCUGGCAGUAAACGAUGUAUGCUGGGUGUGAGACUAGCGAUAGUUUCGUGCCGAAGUUAACGCGAUAAGCAUACCGCCUGGGGAGUACGGUCGCAAGAUUGAAACUCAAAUGAAUUGGCGGGG
rnacentral:rRNA from 1 species